GAUUAGUGAGUUUUUUGAGUCUUCUAAACUUGAUUGAGGUUUAAGCCUACUCAUUUG
rnacentral:tRNA from 1 species